rnacentral:tRNA from 1 species
AUUUAAAUAGUUUAAAAUAAAAUGUUAGCUUGUGAUGUUAGUGAUGUAUGAUAUAAAUACUUUAAAUC